AUUCAAGUCAAUAUGGUUGAUUUGUCAAACGUCUACCAAAGAUCGUUUUGAAGAUGAUGCACAAGAUUGGAAUGCAAAUGCUCAAGGAUAUAUAUUGACGUACUCAUUAGGGGGAGUUAAUGCGCGUUGCACUCUUUCUCCCAUACAAGGUUUUGUCCCACUGGGUUUUCCUUGCAAGGUUUUUAACGAGGCAACCAAUAGNN
rnacentral:lncRNA from 1 species